AGCGAACGCUGGCGGCAGGCUUAACACAUGCAAGUCGAGCGCCCGUAGCAAUACGGGAGCGGCAGACGGGUGAGUAACACGUGGGAACGUACCCUUCAGUUCGGAACAACCCAGGGAAACUUGGGCUAAUACCGGAUACGUCCGUAAGGAGAAAGAUUUAUCGCUGAAGGAUCGGCCCGCGUCUGAUUAGCUAGUUGGUGGGGUAAUGGCCCACCAAGGCGACGAUCAGUAGCUGGUCGAGAGGAUGAUCAGCCACACUGGGACUGAGACACGGCCCAGACUCCUACGGGAGGCAGCAGUGGGAAUAUUGGACAAUGGGCGAAAGCCUGAUCCAGCAAUGCCGCGUGAGUGAUGAAGGCCUUAGGGUUGUAAAGCUCUUUUACCCGGGAUGAUAAUGACAGUACCGGGAGAAUAAGCUCCGGCUAACUCCGUGCCAGCAGCCGCGGUAAC
rnacentral:rRNA from 1 species